AGAUCUUAUUCAAGAAAUGGAGUGCCAUACAGAUUUGUAAAGCAUCUCUGAGUAGUAAAUAUGAACAGCAGAACUAGUAGACUUAAAACAAGGCAACACCUGUUAGUAGAAUCCUUCCUUUUUUUCUGAUUCUAUUAUCUUGUAUAUUUUAUUUAAUAUUUUCAAUAUGUAUAAUUAUAUAUAUUUUUGUACUUUUUUUCCCUUUUUUUUCUGAGGUCAAGGCCAAGUUUAUUCUCAAUAGAACAUCCUUCUUGAAGCACAAAUAUUUCCAAACUAUGAAACAACAGAUAUUGCCUUACAACUCAAGAUGUUGAGUAUUGAUAACUAAUCAACUACUAGCCUGGGAGAUAAAAGCCAAAGCUGUAAACAGACAGGUCAGGUAAAUAUAUGAAUGAAGAAUUGAAACUAGAAGCUAACAUCAUGGGAAGUCUAAUUAUAGGGCAAGUAUUUUUCUUUCAUAUCUUAUUGAACAUAGUCAAACCAUGCUAUACUUAUAGGCUUAACUAUUGUUUUCAUAGAAACAAUGUUAUUUUAAAUAUCAUGAGAUAGUGUAUUUAAGACAUUCUAAUUCAAGUUUCCAUAUUUCAUCAGCUUAACAAGCGCACAUUCUCUGCUGCCAACAGUACCAAUUAGUCAUCCAAGCAACAAAUAUUCCUUGGUAAUCUGCUAUCAGAUGACAGUUUUCUCUUUAGCAUUUUUAUGAAUUAAAGCUUUCAAGGCCAAAGUAAGACUUAAUUUUUUUCUUUUCUUUAAUUGCUAAUUCUAAAAUAAUUUAUCAUUGCAUGUUAAAAACAAUAAAUAACUUUUUAUACAUUUUUCUGUGUUUUGGUCAAGCUUCAGAUUAGUUUAGCAUAUUCCUGUACUACAUAUCAACAAAUGUUUGAUGGUCUGUCUGGUUCAUCUCUUAACACUAUGAAGAUAACAACACUAAGCUUAACAAGCAAACAUUCUGUUGCCAACAGUACCCAUUUGUCAUCCUAUCCAAGCAACUAAUAAUUCUCAGUAAUCUGCUAUCAGAUGAUUACAGUUUUCUCUUUGGCAUUUGUAUGAAUUAAAGCUUUCAAAGC